rnacentral:pre_miRNA from 1 species
UGUUAUCCGAGGCCCUUUUUUUGUUGUGCUACUGGGAUCUGUGAUUAGCAGUGCAAUAUCAAAAGGGCAUUGGCUGACAGU